rnacentral:tRNA from 1 species
CUUCAAAUAGCUUAGCUUGAGCGUUAGAUUUUUAAUUUAAAGGAGAUAAGUGAACUUAUUUUUGAGGG